GCCAAGAUAGCUCAGUUGGUAGAGCACAGCCCUGAAAAGGCUGGGGUCCCCGGUUCAAGCCCGGGUCUUGGCACCA
rnacentral:tRNA from 1 species